AGGAGAAUAUAAAAUGUGUAAUUCCGAAAUGAUGAACUAUCUGAAAGAUGUGGCAUCACCGCACCGUUGAACAGAAAAUCGCAUACAAUCAUUUCACCAUGUCCAACGUACCGUUCUGCUCACUGCUGACGUCAUCGUGCUUGGCGGGAUGCCUCUAUAUUGGACUAGAGAUUCACUUUGCUUACCGUUGUUACUGAGUCCCACGUGUUGAUGUCCUUAAUUCUUUACGCUCUCAUGUUUGUGUUUGUUAAUAAUAUGUUAAAGAUACGAUUUAAAAAUUUCAUCAUUUAUUGUGGCGGUAUAUAAAAAUGUGAAGUGUAUGAAUUUACAGAAUUAAUUCAUUUCGGUAGUGUGGUAGCUUGUCUGACAAUACGAUAUGUGAACCGCUGUUACAGUGACCCUAACCUCAACCACUAUUGAGUGUAUUCUAUGUUCUCAACGAUUGUGGGGGAAAUAGGGGCUCGUUAGAAAUCCAGACAAUGAAUAUGGGAAAGGGAACUGUACCGAUGAGGAGACCAAAGGGUAGAGGUAGUUACAUGUGCUAUUGCGGACGAACCUAUUAUGAAAAGAAGAAUCUCAUGAGACACCAAAAACUGAAAUGUGACAUUAAAUUUGAGGAAUUUACAAUCAUACAAUGAGUUAGAUAUAAUAUCUAGCUUUCGAAAAUAGAAAGCUACAAAUGUUUUGCACUUCUAUUGGUUUUGGGUCUUCCAGUGACAACAGAAAAGGCAAGAAAGUUAUAUUCGCCGAAACAAAGAUGUAAGAAUGACAUAUGGGACUAGAUUGUGAAAAAUAUGACUUAUUUUUAAAUACUUUCAGAAGUACAAGUAGAAAAUAUUAAUAUAAUUUCUCAAUGGAAGUAGAACGAUGAGAAAGCUGUAA